rnacentral:rRNA from 1 species
CACGUAGUUAGCCGGCGCUUCUUCUGCAGGUACCGUCACUUGCGCUUCUUCCCUGCUGAAAAGAGGUUUUACAACCCGAAGGCCGUCAUCCCUCACGCGGCGUCGCUGCAUCAGGCUUGCGCCCAUUGUGCAAUAUUCCCCACUGCUGCCUCCCGUAGGAGUCUGGGCCGUGUCUCAGUCCCAGUGUGGCCGGUCGCCCUCUCAGGCCGGCUACCCGUCGUCGCCUUGGUGAGCCGUUACCUCACCAACAAGCUGAUAGGCCGCGGGCUCAUCCUGCACCGCCGGAGCUUUCCACACAGAGGAGAUGCCUCCCUGUGUCGUAUCCGGUAUUAGACCCCGUUUCCAGGGCUUGUCCCAGAGUGCAGGGCAGAUUGCCCACGUGUUACUCACCCGUUCGCCACUAAUCCACCCCCGAAGGGGCUUCAUCGUUCGACUUGCAUGUGUUAACGCACGCCGCCAGCGUGUCCUCGUGUCCGACGGACGUCAAACCGUACUACCUCGUACGACGUAC